rnacentral:rRNA from 1 species
GUGAGGAAUCUUCCACAAUGGGCGAAAGCCUGAUGGAGCAACGCCGCGUGAAGGAUGAAGGUCUUCGGAUUGUAAACUUCUUUUAUGAGUGAAGAAUAUGACGGUAACUCAUGAAUAAGCACCGGCUAACUACGUGCCAGCAGCCGCGGUCAUACGUAGGGUGCAAGCAUUAUCCGGAGUGACUGGGCGUAAAGAGUUGCGUAGGCGGUUAUGUAAGCGAAUAGUGAAACCUGGUGGCUCAACCACACAGACUAUUAUUCGAACUGCAUAACUCGAGAAUGGUAGAGGUAACUGGAAUUUCUUGUGUAGGAGUGAAAUCCGUAGAUAUAAGAAGGAACACCAAUGGCGUAGGCAGACUACUGGACCAGUUCUGACGCUGAGGCACGAAAGCGUGGGGAGCGAACCGGAUUAGAAACCCCGGUAGUCC